rnacentral:rRNA from 1 species
GACGAACGCUGGCGGCGUGCUUAACACAUGCAAGUCGAGCGGUAAGGCCCUUUCGGGGGUACACGAGCGGCGAACGGGUGAGUAACACGUGGGUGACCUGCCCUCAGCUCUGGGAUAAGCCUGGGAAACCGGGUCUAAUACUGGAUAUGACUCCAUGACGCAUGUUGUGGGGUGGAAAGCCUUGUGCGGCUGAGGAUGGGCCCGCGGCCUAUCAGCUUGUUGGUGGGGUGAGGCCUACCAAGGCGACGACGGGUAGCCGGCCUGAGAGGGCGACCGGCCACACUGGGACUGAGACACGGCCCAGACUCCUACGGGAGGCAGCAGUGGGGAAUCUUGCGCAAUGGGCGAAAGCCCGACGCAGCGACGCCGCGUGAGGGAUGACGGCCUGG